CGCGUAGGUGGUUGAGCCAGUCAGAUGUGAAAGCCCCGGGCUUAACCUGGGAACUGCACCUGAUACUGCUUGACUAGAGUACGGUAGAGGGCAGUGGAAUUUCCUGUGUAGCGGUGAAAUGCGUAGAUAUAGGAAGGAACACCAGUGGCGAAGGCGACUGCCUGGACCGAUACUGACACUGAGGUGCGAAAGCGUGGGUAGCAAACA
rnacentral:rRNA from 1 species